rnacentral:rRNA from 1 species
AAUUUAUUUAAUAUUUAUAAAUUUAAAAAAUAUUUUUGAGUUAUUACAUUAAUGGAAGAUUUAUAAAUUUUUAAGUUAAUAAUUUUUACCUUUUGUAUAAUGGCUGUACAAUAAAUAUAUUGAAUAAUAGUUCCCGAAAUAAGAAGAUCUAACUAUUAACGUUUUGUUAGAAAAUAAUAGAAUUAUGUUGAAAUAUGGUUUUAUAGAUUAGUAGUUAGGAGCGAAAAACUUUCAAUUCUUUUGAUAUCUGGUAGUUCUAGAAAAGCAUUUAGUGCUGAAAAAUUAAUCAUAAAGUGUUUAGAUUUUAUGAUAAAAGAAUUUUAAAUACAAUUUUUUUCUUUAGAGUUAAUCCUACAAAGAAUAAUUUUAUUAAAUUAUUAAUUUUUAAUUAUAUCUUUAUUGUAUAGAACUUUUUUGAUUAUUUAGUAUCAAAAAUAAUAAUGUAUAGAUAAGUAAUAUUUUAGUAGCAUUUAUUAGAUAAAAGACUGAUUCAAAAUUUUAUAAAUAGAAACUUUUAAUUAUUUGAAAGGAACUCGGCAAAUGUAAACUUCGACUGUUUAACAAAAACAUAGUUUUAGGAGAUUUAUCUAAAAUAAUACCUGCCCAAUGUUGAUUUAUAAACGGCCGCGGUACUUUGACCGUGCUAAGGUAGCGCAAUCAAUUGGCUUUUAAAUGAAGUCGUGUAUGAAUGGAAUAACGGAGUUUAGCUGUCUCUCAGAAUAAUUUAUUGAAAUUACUAUAUAGGUGAAAAAGCCUAUAUGAAGAAAAAAGACGAGAAGACCCUUAGAAUUUAUCUUAAGUCCAGGAAAUAUAGAACAUUUUUGGAAUAGUUUUGUUGGGGCAACAUAGGAGCAUUUUUUAAUCUCCUUAAAAUUAUAAACCGAUAAUUAUAAAAUUAAAUAAAUUACCUUAGGGAUAACAGCAAAAUACUAUAAAUGAGUUUGUGACCUCGAUGUUGGACUAGAAAACUAGCAGGCUAGCCGCUUGUUAGGAAAGUUCUGUUCGAACUAUAAUUUUCUACAUGAUCUGAGUUCAGACCGGCGUAAGCCAGGUCAGAUUCUAUCUUUUUAGUUUUAAGAAUUUAGUACGAAAGGACCAAUUCUUAGUAUAAUUUUUAUA